GCCUUGUGGUUCCUAGAGUCAGCUGAUGUGCUGAGCUGUGGGUUUUUGUGAACAGGCGCUCAUUGUUUCUGUGAUUUGAAGCAUGGAUUCUGCCCUUAUUGCAGACUUCCAUAGCCCGGUUGCAGAUACAAGC